rnacentral:rRNA from 1 species
GUCUUAUUGAAUAAUAAUUUUAAGUCAAUUCUGCCCAAUGAUUUUAAAUAAUUAAAUGGCUGCGGUAUAAUUGACUGUACAAAGGUAGCAUAAUCAAUUGUUUUUUAAUUAAAAACUGGAAUGAAAGAGUUAAUGAGAUAUACCCUGUCUCAUAUAUAUUAAAUUAAUUUAAAUUUUUAGUUAAAAUGCUAAAAUUAAUUUAUGGGACGAUAAGACCCUAUAGAAUUUUAUAUUAAUAUUUUAAUUAUAAUUUUAUUAUUGAAUAUUAAUAUUUUGUUGGGAGGAUAGGUAAAUUUAUUAAACUUUAUUUUAAAUAUUAACUUUAAUUAAAGAAUAUAUUUUGAUCUUUUAGUAAAAAUGAAAAGAGUAAAUUACCUUAGGGAUAACAGCGUAAUAUCUUUUUAAAGAUCUUAUUGAAAAAGAUGAUUGCGACCUCGAUGUUGAAUUAAGAUAAAUUUUAAAUGAAGAAAUUUAAUAAUUAAGUCUGUUCGACUUUUAAAAUCUC